rnacentral:lncRNA from 1 species
GGCUGAAGGCUCUGCCAGGAGGUUGGAGGCAAUGGAUGACGCUGCUGAUGAUGGUGAUGAAGAUGAUAAUGAAAUGAAGAUGAAGAUGAUGAAGAUGAUGAUGACAAAGAAGAAAAGGAAGAGGAAGAGGAAGAGGAAGAGAAAGAGGAAGGCUGAGGCUGAAGGCUUUGCUAGGAGGUUGGGGGCAUUGGAUGAUGCUGCUGCUGAUGAUGAUGAAGAUGAUGAUGAAGAUGAUGAUGAAGAUGAUGAAGAUAAUGAAGAUGAUGAUGACGAAGAGGAAGAGGAGGGCCGAGGCUGAAGGCUCUGCCGGGAGGUUGGGGGCGUUUGGUGAUGCUGAUGAUGAAGAUGAUGGAGAUGGUGACGACGACGAUGAUAACGAAGAUGACGAUGAUGAAGGUGAAGAUGAUGACGAUGACGAUGAUGAAGGUGAAGAUGAUGACGAUGAUGAAGAUGACGAUGACGAUGAUGAAGAUGAAGAUGGAGAUGAAGACGACAAUAAUGAAGAUAACGAUGAUGAAGGUGAAGAUGAUAACGAUGACGAUGAUGAAGAUGAAGAUGGAGAUGAAGAUGAAGAUGAAGAUGAAGAUGAAGAUGAAGACGCCCCGCCCCCAGCGGCGAUACCGGCGUUAAGGCCACCGGCCGAUGGCGACGGGCGUUAAUUGCGGGAUGCUCCGCCGUUAAUUACGGUUAACGACCC